CCCUUUGCGGAUAAGAUUGAAGACCCCUGACUUAAGCAAUAGUGUCUUCCUAUGCAUUCGGUCCCAGCUCAGCCUAUCAAACAGGCUUUGUUACCAGCGUUUGUUACCCUUCUGUGACGACCCUCUCGCAGCAUUUACUCCCAGAACCAUGGAUCCAGCCAGUCUGAGAGUUUCUCCUCCAGGUGGAGACGUUGGUGCAUCAGAAGAGGCCCAGAUCCCCAUAAAGCAUGCUGCCUCGCACUCCCUCCGCUCCCUACGGCUGCAAAUUUACUGGUGACCUUUGCAUUCCAUUUGGAACGAUCCAGCUUUUCUCUCUCUCUCUCACUCCCCCCCACCCUCACUUUGGAAAAUUCCACUGCCAUUGAGGUAGGCAGGAAAGCAACCAUCUAUGCAUAAGAGCUGGAGGGGGGGAAAAAUGGGGGGACUGAAAGAUUGCUUGUCUUUAGUGCUCUGAGCUGUGCAGAAGUGAGAGGAGCAACAGGCCUCCCAAUGAAGUUGUUCCAUAUUACAGUCCCUACAGGAUUUUGUGUGGGUUUUUUUUAGUAAUUGUUGCAGACAAAAAUUCUUGGUUUUGUUGCAGCUUGUUUUCUUCUAAAUUUGCAAUGCAGCUUGCAGUUUUUUGUGGAAAACUACCUGAAUUGUCGAAAUAGCAAUUGCAAAAAUUCUUUUGGCAGUGAUGUUUGUUGGUAAACGAGAGCCAUUAGCUGCACUCACGUUCGACGAACAUGAAUCGAAGAGGGCUGAAUGCACGCUGUGAUGACGUCACAUGAUUCAUCUUGGCCAAAGUCUGCAGAAAAUCUGUGGUUAUUUUGAAAAAAUGCAAGCUCCUCCGAAUAUUGCAGAGUUAGCUUGAUUUUGCGUUCAAAUUCAAACAAUUCAAAACAAAAAUAAAUCUCUAAAUAUGUAAAUAAAAGUCAAAGAAUAAACACAAACAUAAAACACAAAAACUCCAAAAAUAAAAUGCAAAACACAAAUUCCAAAAAAAGUUUGUUUUUUUUAAA